AAAAAACCAUAUACCUAUCCCAAAAAGAAAAUUUCCAUCUCAUUCACUUUUUUUCCACACGCUGUCAGAAAACAAUUCCCUCAAAACUAAAUAACAUGCCGUACUUUACAAAAACAAUGUAAUUUUUAUAAUCAUAAGCUUAAAUUGGGUGUGUUUAUAAUUUUUAUAUUCUGAAGCAAAUUGAUGUGUCGGGAGUCAACAUGAUAGGUCCGUUUCGAUACUGCGCUCAAAUAAAGCACAUUAACCAUGCAUCGCUUGCGUUCAACAACAACUGUCUAGGGCAAGUCAUCAAAGGACUAGCGGGUCGUUUUAAUUAUUCACAAGAUAAGGGUGGGAGUGGGUGCUGCAAGGACAUCGCUCAGAGCUCCGCCGAGAGGAAAGUAGAGCCGUGGCCGAAGUCAGAGCCGCCGCAACAACCGUGGCGCGCGGAGUGCCCACAGGGGCCGCAGCCCCCCAACUACGACCCGUACAGGAUCAAAGUCCCCGACGUAGUCGUGCCGCCACUACCGCCCAGUAAUGUCAAGCCGAUGCUGGACUGCACCAAGGGUACUAACAAAGGGCAGUGCUCCCUGAAGCCGGUGGUGACGCCGGAGCCUCCCCCGCCGCCUCCGCCACCGAGCUUCCCUUGGAUGUAUUUUUGGGCGCUACUGUCAUUCUUCGGUGCGUUUGGUUUGUACGUGACACACCACACCCAAUCUACCAGCCGCUUGCAAGCGAUGAUAAAUACAGCAAAUUCCCCACAAGCGCACCUUGCCUACAGAAGAACUAUUAGAGUGAUGUAUAAAUUAUAUUUAUGGAGGAGAAUGCAGGAGGUAACGAAAGAAAAGCCUGUGUGGCGGCCUCGAAGGAAGAUGAAGCGGCCGUACAACGAGCGCGACAUUCCCGCUUGCGUUCAGUAUCUCAUAAUAGGCACGGGCGCCGCCGGGUGGGCCGCAUACAAGGCCAUUAUGGAACACGACAAAACUGCUAAGGUAUUCUUCGUAACGAAAGAAGAUUCCUUCCCCUACAAGCGGCCGCCGCUUAGUAAGGAAAUGUGGUUUGAAGAAGAUCCUCCUGACCCGAAGAUUUUGAAGUAUGUCGCAGACGGACGAAGACAAACAAUGUUUAAUGCAGAUUGCGGAGAUUUCUUAGAUCCCGUUGUAUUUUAUCGGAAAAAGACGGGCCCGGCGUUGUCGAUCGCGACGGGCUGGUGUGUGGUCCGACUGGACGCUGACGACCACGUGGCCUACGUCAAGACCAUGAGUGGGGAGCAUCCGAUAUAUUACGAGCGGUGUCUGUUGGCCCCCGGUUCAAAACCAAGAACUCUUGACAUCAUAAAAUCCGCUCCGAAGGCAGUACGGGAAAAAGUUUGCACCAUGCGUACAGUUAGGGAUUUGGAGCUAGCGUACAGGAAAGUCAAAGAAGCGAAGCAUGUAACAGUCAUAGGCGCCGGCCCUCUGGGCUGCGAGCUCGCGUGGCAUCUGGGCAAAAUGAAUAAAAUGAUGCCGUUAGAGGACGGGCCGGGCAGGGUGAUAACACACGUGUACAAGGACAAGGGCAUACUCUCGGGCAUCCUGCCGGAGUACCUCGGCGUGUGGGCCGCGGAGCUCAUCAAGUGCGAGGGUGUCACGCAAGUGCCCAAAGCUCAAGUAUACGAUGUGUUCGAGUCAGUAGACGGGAGACUCGAGCUCACGCUGUCUAACGGCCAGUCUUUAGUCACGGACUUCGCGUUCGUGGCAGUAGGCGCGGAGCCGCGCGUGGACCUGGCCGAGGGCUCGUACCUGGAGCGCGACGAGAUCAACGGCGGCUACCUGGUGAACACCGAGCUCGAGGCGCGGACGCACCUGUACAUCGCCGGCGACGCCGCCAGCUACUACUCGCAGGAGAAGGACACGCGCAUGCGCGCCGACCACGUCAUCAACGCCGAGGAGCAGGGCUACAUCGCCGGCUCCAACAUGACCGGCUACUGGAUGCCCUGCAACAUGGAGCCCAACUGGUGGGUGCGCCUCGGCGAUCUGCUGCAGAUGGAGGUAGUCGGCGAAGUGGGUGCAUGCAUGCCCAUCGUGGGGCUUUUCAAGGAAUGUACGGACGAAGAAUCCAUUAAGGAGGCCGAGACAAUGACCAACGCGGGCGAAAGGCAAGGCUGCUUCCAGAGCAGGAGCGCGGAGUACGUGAACCGGUACAAGCGCGGCCUGCUCUUCUACUUGCGCGACGAGGUGGUGGUCGGCUUUGUGUUCUGGAACAUGCCGGCCAUCGACGACCGCAGGGAAGUGGCCACUGAGUUGCUUCGCGCGAAGCCUACGUACCAAGACAUCAACGUGCUGGCGGAGCUACUGGGCUUCCCGAGCACACGAUGUGUGUACAAGAAGGACGAGGUAGUGGUCGCUGAAGUUGGGCCUUGUUUAACUAAUGACUGUAAACCCAAACCAACUUCGAAAAAAGAUUGUCCGACAAUAACGCGACACCGAUAUCCGUAGCGCCGUAUGGUCGUCUAGGGAACAUCACCGCGGUUCAGUUUUGUUGAGAAACGUUUGUAAACAUGAUCGCAUUCCGUAACUUGUGAACAUUAGCAGCCGCUCACUGGUCGCAAGCCGAGUCGCCGGCCUUACACCGCGGAUGACGCAAACAUUACAUAACUCGUUAACUGCUAACUUCGGUUAGAAGUUGACCGUUAUCAAAGAUACAAGACGUCACCUUACACGGCGACGCUUGCUAAUCUAAAUAAUCUAAACCUUUUGUAAACGAAUGUUACCAAACAACAUACUAAAUGUUACUCAACAAAUAGCAACUGCGGUGUGCUCCUUUAUCUCAUCAUACGUCUUACGGCCCUCGAAAAAAAAAGAGUAAAAAGUUGGAAAGUAUGGUAAAAAAAAAAAAUUUGCAAGAAAAGUUUUAAGGAAUUGUCUGUGUGAACAUAUUUUUUUUUGAUAUUGAAAGUUUUGAUUCAUUAA